GUAGGAGGGCAGUGAAGACCACAGCC
rnacentral:piRNA from 1 species